rnacentral:rRNA from 1 species
CAACCUAAAGAAUAAUGACUAAUUUAAAAUUACAUAAUUUCUUUAGAGUAAUUCAAAUAAGGUACAGCCUAUUUGAAACAGGAUACAACCUCCACCGAAGGGUAAUUAUUUUUUUUAUAAUAAAGUAGGCCUAAAAGCACCCACCUUUAAGAUAGCGUCAAAGCUUCAUUAUAUUCUCACUAAAUACCCCAAAUAACUUAGAACCCUCCUCCCCUAUUGAGUACUUCUAUAUUAGUAUAGAAAUUUUUAUGUUAAAACUAGUAACAAGAAGACAGACCUUCUCUUAAAUGCAAGUGUAAAUCAUAAAGGACACACCAAUGACAAUUAACCUCUAUCAAUAUAAAAUAGUAACCCUACGAGAAAAACCUAUUUAUUCUCUACGUUAAUCUAACACAAGAGCAUUACAAGAAAGAUUGAAAGAAAAAGAAGGAACUCGGCAAACAUUAACCCCGCCUGUUUACCAAAAACAUCGCCUCUUGAUAAAUAUAAGAGGUCCAGCCUGCCCAGUGAUUUUAUUUAACGGCCGCGGUACCCUAACCGUGCAAAGGUAGCGUAAUCACUUGUUCUUUAAAUGAGGACUAGUAUGAACGGCAUCACGAGGGUUAUACUGUCUCCUUUUUCUGAUCAGUGAAACUAACCUCCUCGUGAAGAAGCGAGGAUGAAAAUAUAAGACGAGAAGACCCUAUGGAGCUUUAAAGUAAGUAACAAUUGCUUCAACCCCUUUACAUAUUUCAGAAUUACUUACACCUAUGAUAGCUCAAUGAUUACUAAUUUUAGGUUGGGGUGACCGCGGAACACAAAAUAACCUCCACUUUGUACAGGACCAACUCCUGAGCCAUGAAAUACACUUCUAAGCACCAAUUAAUUGACAUUAAUUGACCCAAUAUUUUGAUCAACGAACCAAGUUACCCUAGGGAUAACAGCGCAAUUCGCCUUGAAAGCUCCUAUCGACAGGCGAGUUUACGACCUCGAUGUUGGAUCAGGGUACCCAAGUGGUGCAGCCGCUACUAAAGGUUCGUUUGUUCAACGAUUAAUACCCU